rnacentral:lncRNA from 1 species
GGAUAUGCACAAGAUUGGGCCGACAGAAACCUAUAUAUAGUUAUUCAGCCCAAGCCCAGACAAAAAUGGCGUCGGCCCAUUUAGAGAGAUGUGUGGCAUGGACAGCGGUGCAGCUGCCUGAGUAAUAUUAAUAUGUGUCGAUUCGACGCUGCUGCACCACCGAUAGACACACACACACACCGUUGCACGUCUAUAUAUAUAAUAUUGGUUGCAGAAACCCACUCAGAUGUGAAAGCAGAGCCCUCUCAGCUCAUAUUAGGGAUUUUUCGAUUUUAUUAAACAAUAAAAGAGGGAGGGUGAAAAGAAAUGGCGAUGGUGCUGAUGGGAUUGAGCGUGCAAUUCGUUUUGGAUUUCGUGGUAGCGGGUAUUUCCCUAAUCAUUGGGAUGGGAUUAUUCGCUUUCAUCGCUUCAAUUCUAUGCUCCGCCGCUUUCUUUCAAAACGCCAAGGAGAUUAAUUGAUUUGGGUUUCUGUGAGUAUUCCAAUCUCUCCCUCUCUCUUUUUCAAUGCUGAUUUUGCUGUAAUUCAAUUCGUAAUUUUUUUAUUCUCGGGGAUCUAAAUGAAUGUGUCUGCUUUCAUCGUUGUUUGGAACUGGUAAAUGGUGUCUGCUUUCUGGGAGAUUGAAAAUGUUUUGGAAGCUGAGAAUUUGUGAAUAUUAAAAAAAAUGGUAAGAAAUUGUGGUGAUUUUAGUAAAUGAAUCACUGAAAUCUAGAAUUAAAUGUUAAUUAAUCUUUUGUAGGGAUGAUUCAUUUAGAUAUAUUUCUUUUCCGAUCCAUGACUGACAAUAAUCCUUUUCUUUGAAAAUUAGAACGGUAGCUAUGACAUUGAAAUACAGGAGUAGUGGUGAAGAUUAGAUGUGAUUUUGGUUGAAGAGAAUGAGUUGUUUGAUCCUAUGAUGAAGAUUGUGUGUUGUGCAGAAGAUGAUAAUAGAUGGUAUUGUUUGCAGGCUGCAAUUGAAUAAGGCAGGCUGUAUUUCUCCCUCGUCAUGGUUUAGUUUUGUGGAUGUAGGCCUCUCCUCAAAAUGGAAGAGUUUUUGUGUGUAAAUUAUCACUUGUAUAAAAAUGGACAUCGCCUUAAUGUUAUUACAAAUGGCUCCUCCUAGCAAAGACCAAUCUCUAACUAUUUACAUCAACUCCAAACUCAAACCAAGACUUAUUUUGCAAUAUAUGUCGUUUUGAAAAGUAAUUCUAUUACCCGU